rnacentral:rRNA from 1 species
AUGAACGCUGGCGGCAUGCCUAACACAUGCAAGUCGAACGAAGCCUUCGGGUUUAGUGGCGCACGGGUGCGUAACGCGUGGGAAUCUGCCCCUUGGUUCGGAAUAACAGUUGGAAACGACUGCUAAUACCGGAUGAUGACGUAAGUCCAAAGAUUUAUCGCCGAGGGAUGAGCCCGCGUAGGAUUAGGUAGUUGGUGUGGUAAAGGCGCACCAAGCCGACGAUCCUUAGCUGGUCUGAGAGGAUGAUCAGCCACACUGGGACUGAGACACGGCCCAGACUCCUACGGGAGGCAGCAGUGGGGAAUAUUGGACAAUGGGCGAAAGCCUGAUCCAGCAAUGCCGCGUGAGUGAUGAAGGCCUUAGGGUUGUAAAGCUCUUUUACCCGGGAUGAUAAUGACAGUACCGGGAGAAUAAGCUCCGGCUAACUCCGU